rnacentral:rRNA from 1 species
AAUAUUGCACAAUGGGCGAAAGCCUGAUGCAGCGACGCCGCGUGAGGGAUGACGGCCUUCGGGUUGUAAACCUCUUUCAGCAGGGACGAAGCGCAAGUGACGGUACCUGCAGAAGAAGCACCGGCUAACUACGUGCCAGCAGCCGCGGUAAUACGUAGGGUGCAAGCGUUGUCCGGAAUUACUGGGCGUAAAGAGUUCGUAGGCGGUUUGUCGCGUCGUUUGUGAAAACCAGCAGCUCAACUGCUGGCUUGCAGGCGAUACGGGCAGACUUGAGUACUGCAGGGGAGACUGGAAUUCCUGGUGUAGCGGUGAAAUGCGCAGAUAUCAGGAGGAACACCGGUGGCGAAGGCGGGUCUCUGGGCAGUAACUGACGCUGAGGAACGAAAGCGUGGGUAGCGAACAGGAUUAGAUACCCUGGUAGUCCACGCCGUAAACGGUGGGCGCUAGGUGUGGGUUCCUUCCACGGAAUCCGUGCCGUAGCUAACGCAUUAAGCGCCCCGCCUGGGGAGUACGGCCGCAAGGCUAAAACUCAAAGGAAUUGACGGGG